CCUACGGGGGGCUGCAGUGGGGAAUAUUGGACAAUGGGCGAAAGCCUGAUCCAGCCAUGCCGCGUGUGUGAAGAAGGCCUUCGGGUUGUAAAGCACUUUCAGUGGGGAAGAAAGCCUUGGGGCUAAUACCCUCGAGGAAGGACAUCACCCACAGAAGAAGCACCGGCUAACUCCGUGCCAGCAGCCGCGGUAAUACGGAGGGUGCGAGCGUUAAUCGGAAUUACUGGGCGUAAAGCGCGCGUAGGCGGUCUGAUAAGCCGGUUGUGAAAGCCCCGGGCUCAACCUGGGAACGGCAUCCGGAACGGUCAGGCUAGAGUGCAGGAGAGGAAGGUAGAAUUCCCGGUGUAGCGGUGAAAUGCGUAGAGAUCGGGAGGAAUACCAGUGGCGAAGGCGGCCUUCUGGACUGACACUGACGCUGAGGUGCGAAAGCGUGGGUAGCAAACAGGAUUAGAUACCCCAGUAGUC
rnacentral:rRNA from 1 species